GACGAACGCUGGCGGCGUGCCUAAUACAUGCAAGUUGAGCGAUGAAGAUUGGUGCUUGCACCAAUUUGAAGAGCAGCGAACGGGUGAGUAACGCGUGGGGAAUCUGCCUUUGAGCGGGGGACAACAUUUGGAAACGAAUGCUAAUACCGCAUAACAACUUUAAACAUAAGUUUUAAGUUUGAAAGAUGCAAUUGCAUCACUCAAAGAUGAUCCCGCGUUGUAUUAGCUAGUUGGUGAGGUAAAGGCUCAUCAAGGCGAUGAUACAUAGCCGACCUGAGAGGGUGAUCGGCCACAUUGGGACUGAGACACGGCCCAAACUCCUACGGGAGGCAGCAGUAGGGAAUCUUCGGCAAUGGACGAAAGUCUGACCGAGCAACGCCGCGUGAGUGAAGAAGGUUUUCGGAUCGUAAAACUCUGUUGGUAGAGAAGAACGUUGGUGAGAGUGGAAAGCUCAUCAAGUGACGGUAACUACCCAGAAAGGGACGGCUAACUACGUG
rnacentral:rRNA from 1 species